GGAUCAUUACAGAGUCGUAAAAAACUCCCAACCCAUGUGAAUUUACCUUUGUUGCCUCGGCGGACCUACCCGGUACCUACCCUGUAGCUACCCUGUAGCCCGCCGAUGGACCAUUAAACUAUUGUUAUUAUAUAUGAAUCUGAGCGUCUUAUUAAAUAAGUCAAAACUUUCAACAACGGAUCUCUUGGUUCUGGCAUCGAUGAAGAACGCAGCGAAAUGCGAUAAGUAAUGUGAAUUGCAGAAUUCAGUGAAUCAUCGAAUCUUUGAACGCACAUUGCGCCCAUUAGUAUUCUAUUGGGCAUGCCUGUUCGAGCGUCAUUUCAACCCUUAAGCUCAGCUUAGUAUUGAGAAUCUACUGUGAGCGGUGCUACCCUGUAGCUACCCUGUAGUUCUUCAAAUCUAACGGCGGAGUUAUAGUUACCUCUGAGCGCAGUAAUACUUAUCACGCUUUGGAAGGUGCUAUAGCUUUAGCCGCUAAACCCCCCAAUUUUUAAUGGUUGACCUC
rnacentral:rRNA from 1 species